UACAGAGGGGGCAAGCGUUAUUCGGAAUUAUUGGGCGUAAAGGGCGCGUAGGCGGCCUGGCAAGUGGAAGGUGAAAUCCCUCGGCUUAACCGAGGAACUGCCCUCCAAACUGCUUGGCUUGAGUCCGGGAGAGGUGAGUGGAAUUCCCAGUGUAGCGGUGAAAUGCGUAGAUAUUGGGAGGAACACCAGUGGCGAAGGCGAAUCUCUGGACAGUUACUGACACUGAGGCACGAAGGCCAGGGGAGCAAACGGG
rnacentral:rRNA from 1 species